ensembl:lncRNA
GCAGCGGCAUCUGUGAGAUGCCAUGUGGUCUAACGGGAAGACCAUGGCCUGGAAAGACAAUGGGCUGGGAGUCUGACGGUGCUGAGUAGAGUGAAUGGUUCUUAUUGUUGUAACGACACGCAGCUGCUUUAUUGGUCAUUCAAGAGGAAACUUGUCCCCGUGGCGAGGGAUUUGGACUGAAGCCUGCAGCUGCUUAGCACAGAUGCUGACGAGGCCUCACCUAGGCUUUCCUGCCCACCUGCAGCCGUCAGCUUCCCUCUAACUCUGCAGAUUGACUGCACGCCUUUUUCUCCACUGCCCCUCCAAACCCACUAAGAUAGCCAUAAGGGAAUAAAGUAAGAGGAAGCAACUGGGAGAGCAAAUGCAAAAAAUGUCAACAAAAUUUUGAAAGAUGUAAGGUGUUUGAACAAAGGGCAUCUAAUUUAGUUUUAGCUUUAGCCAUUCUGCUAAGCGUCUACACCUGAAGAAGCCAACAAAACGUAAAUUGAAUCCACCAUGGAUCCUCAAAAGGCAGAGGAUCUGGAAGCACCAGACAUCUCUGAAUCCAGGGGUCAGGAUGGGGCUGAGAAGAAGAGGAUUCACUCGUAAGUCUGUAUAAGAAGGAUCUAGACCCCCAGAUUUUCUCCCUUGCCCCACACAGCCAGGCGCCAUAGCUCCUCUACCAUCCAGCAGAUGACACAUUUGCUAUCUAAAGAGGGUGAACCAGAGAGAUUCUGACCCAGGGGACGUGAAGCAUGGCAGAAGGCAGAAGACAAAGACAUCCUGAAAAGAGUAAGGCUCCCAGAAGUCACAUAUGACAGGCCCCCGCUCCCCACCCGACCCGCUGAGACAAUGCCCCACCACACUGCCUUCUCUGCAGGGCGACCGCAAUGCAGACUCGAGGGAACCGUCAUUCCAAGGACUUCCAUGUGAGUGGUGCUUCCUGAAGCUGUGCACUGAGGUGGCCCUGGAGGAACCGGCUAGCUCCCGCCCACCCUCUUCCCAUCUCAGCCCUUGCAGCUCUGUUUCUAGCAGGAGGAAGGGGAGUGAAAUCAUUCAUGCCAGCUGUGAUUCCGACUUACAUCUCACUGAGCAGGACUGUGUCAUGUGACUGCAUCUGCCAACAAGCGGGGAAACUCUAGACGUCAGAAGUGAGGUGAUCACUGUUUGUGUUGGCCCUGUUGGCAGCAGCAGAACUUUGCAAAUGGUUACUGAUGGUGGUUGGAUAUGAUGUCAUCAGACGUUUCCAAAAGAAAAGCAGUUCGGCCCUGUAAUGGCUUUUUUUUGUUGUUGUUUCACACAAUUCAUGGAAUCCAUGUAAAGUUUUUGGAGGUUCAUUUUACUAAAGGAAAAAUGUAAAUACGAUUUUUGGAGGAGCACUUCACCAUGCAAAAAAUAAUACCCUUACCCUUAAUAUUGUUAAGAAGCCAAAUGGUCUUGGCAAUGACUUCUUGGAUAUGACACCAAAAGCACAGGCAACAGAAGCAAAAACAGACAAGUGGGACCACAGUAAAUUAAAAGGUUCUGCACAGCAAAGAAAACAACCCAUAGAGAGAAAAGGCAACCUACAGAAUGGGGUAAAAUAUUUGUAAACCAAACAUCUGAUAAGGGAUUAAUAUCCAAAGUUAUAAGGAACUCCUACGACUCAAAAGUAAAAAAGCAAGUAACCCAAUUAAAAAAUGGGCAAAGGACUUGAAUAGACAUUUCU